rnacentral:lncRNA from 1 species
AGAAGAUAAACACUCUUCAUUUUUAUGGCAGCCAGACACAGGAGGAGGCACCUACAGUCCCAGAUUCGGGGAAGCUGAGGUUAAGAUGGUGGACUGAAAUCUUGACUAGGCCAGACCCUGUCUCAAAAAACUGCAGGGAAAAAAAGUACCAGAUGAAGGAGGCCUCAUACUAAGGUAUAGCUGACAAACCAAGUUAGUUCUGAGCUUAGGAAGUGGGUUUCCAGCUGGAGCCCAGAAAACAGUACUGGCAGAAAGGCACUGAACAAGCCAACAAGUGGAGUCUUAGGUAGUGAGCUUAGGUAGUCAGGGUUCAGCCGCCGCCAUCAGCAUCAACAUUUUCCCUGCCAACAGGCACAGCAAGGUGGACAUGUAGCCCGGGCUCACUGCACUGCUCUGGCCAGCAGGGGAUGCCAGGCCGCAGUCAGUGUAGGGCUCCAGGCAGGCUGCGAAGGCCAUGACGUGCGCGAUGUAGUUCUGCUCCUGAACUCCGUGCACCAGGUGCGCCUGUGGGCCACGCGCGAAUAUUGCCACGUCCUCCCCGCUGUGGGUCUCUGACGACAGGGGUACAGCAGCCUGCUGCUGUGACAUCAGCCCGGGCGCCAUUAUGGAGCUUGUAACCAGGACCGUUGCCGUAUAGUAUCGAGAUCCCUCCAAGGCAACAAUAUCUGCCACUGCCUGCCCCGUGCCUACCAAAGAUGGAAGCCCCUCUCUGUGUGUAACCACCAAAAGAGAAGACGUGAGAGUGGUCGGCAGUGACAAGGAUCAUCGUGUCCUGCUCACUGGUGAGCUUGUCUGCCUUGUCAACAGCUGAGUCGAACAUGACAGCCUCAGUCAGGGCACGAUAGGCUACAGUUUCAUGGUGGCCAUGGUCGAUGCGACCCCCUGCAGA